AUGUAUUGGAGGUGGCAGCAUUGCAGGUUGCGUUUGGAUUUGCACAUGUAGUAGAUCUUAAGGGUUUGAGGAUUAUUUUUGGUGUAAAUUUCAGUAAGCAAAAGUUGUAUAUGAGGAAUUGUGGAAUGGUUCUUACUUCAACUACGACAAUAAUGGUAGCCGCUCAAGUUCAUCUAUUCAAGCUAAUCAGUUUACUGGACAAUGGUGUGUCUCUAAUGUAGUUAUGCACGAGCAUGUGCUCUUUCAGCGAUAGUUGAUGAAGACAAAGCAAAAAGAGCAUUAGAGAAGGUUUUUCACUAGAAUAUCUUAAAGAAUAUGGAUGCAGAACAGGGGCCGGUCAAUGGGAUCUACCUGUUGGAACAGUUAAAAUGACAACAUUGCAGUCAAGAAAAAUAUGGUCUGGUGUUACAUGUGCAGUUGCUGUAACGAUGAUCGUGGAGAUUUGGUCGAUAUGGGAUUUCAAAUUGCCAUUGAAAUCUAUGAAGCAGCAUGGUCUGAAAAUGCACUCGUUUAUUCUUUCUAAACUCCUGAAGCUUGGACCACCAUUGAUUGUUUUAGAGCGCUAAAUUACAUGCAUUCAUUGGCUAUAUGGGCAAUGAACUCUUACAAGGCCAAAACCUUGUAGGAAUGGGAUGAAACCAACAAU